rnacentral:rRNA from 1 species
ACACGGAGGGUGCAAGCGUUGUUCGGAAUUAUUGGGCGUAAAGCGCGUGUAGGCGGCUUGGUAAGUCAGGUGUGAAAGCCCUUAGCUCAACUAAGGAAAGUCAUCUGAAACUGCCAGGCUUGAGUACGGGAGAGGAGAGUGGAAUUCCCGGUGUAGAGGUGAAAUUCGUAGAUAUCGGGAGGAACACCCGUGGCGAAGGCGACUCUCUGGACCGAUACUGACGCUGAGACGCGAAAGCGUGGGGAGCAAACAGGAUUAGAAACCCCAGUAGUCC